GACGAACGCUGGCGGCGUGCUUAACACAUGCAAGUCGAACGGAAAGGCCCUGCUUUUGUGGGGUGCUCGAGUGGCGAACGGGUGAGUAACACGUGAGUAACCUGCCCUUGACUUUGGGAUAACUUCAGGAAACUGGGGCUAAUACCGGAUAGGAGCCCCUGCUGCAUGGUGGGGGUUGGAAAGUUUCGGCGGUUGGGGAUGGACUCGCGGCUUAUCAGCUUGUUGGUGGGGUAGUGGCUUACCAAGGCUUUGACGGGUAGCCGGCCUGAGAGGGUGACCGGCCACAUUGGGACUGAGAUACGGCCCAGACUCCUACGGGAGGCAGCAGUGGGGAAUAUUACACAAUGGGCGGAAGCCUGAUGCAGCAACGCCGCGUGCGGGAUGACGGCCUUCGGGUUGUAAACCGCUUUCGCCUGUGACGAAGCGUGAGUGACGGUAAUGGGUAAAGAAGCACCGGCUAACUACGUG
rnacentral:rRNA from 1 species